GCUUAGUACGCGUCUGGGCAUGUCGCGCAUACAGCAAAUACGCAAUAUAUUCACAACAACAACAGCUGCACAUCGUUCUGAUAAACACGCAAUAUAUUCAGCUUGUAUAUCGUUUUGGAAAUAAUCGUCCACAAUGACCUCGACUGUUGGUAUAUGGUUUUGUGUUCUACUUUACAUGUUAAACGUUGCCGCUGUUGUGAGAGGAUCACCUGACGCGCAAUCAUCGUAUCGUACGAGGAACGCUCCUAAAUGGUUCAAAGAGAAGCUGCAACGUUUGAACGCGCAGGAAUCCCUUGGGGAGAUCGAAGAAGUACCUACGUUCUUCCGCAGACGAAAUAAAGAUGGGAAAAUUAUGAAUGCUUUUGAACAAGACACUUGGUUUGAGAUACACGCUAGACACUCAG